rnacentral:rRNA from 1 species
UACGAAGGGGGCUAGCGUUGCUCGGAAUCACUGGGCGUAAAGCGCACGUAGGCGGAUCUUUAAGUCAGGGGUGAAAUCCUGGAGCUCAACUCCAGAACUGCCUUUGAUACUGGGAAUCUCGAGUCCGGAAGAGGUGAGUGGAACUCCGAGUGUAGAGGUGAAAUUCGUAGAUAUUCGGAAGAACACCAGUGGCGAAGGCGGCUCACUGGUCCGGUACUGACGCUGAGGUGCGAAAGCGUGGGAGCAAACAGG